GUGCACCAGUCGCGAAUAUUCGGCAAUGGGCGAAAGCCUGACCGAGCGACGCCGCGUGCGGGAUGAAGGCCUUCGGGUUGUAAACCGCUUUUCUAAGGGAAAAAAUUGUGUCUCACUGUUGUUUGGAGAAAAAAUAAUAAGAAUAAGAUGGAUGGCCGUAGAGUUCCGUGACUUCGCAGGUUUUCAUAAAAUACCAAAUUACAGUGAGGCACAAAUUGAUGGUACCUUAGGAAUAAGAGGUUGCUAACUCCGUGCCAGCAGCAGCGGUAAUACGGAGGCCUCAAGCGUUAUCCGGAUUUAUGGGCUAAAGGGUGUGUAGGCGGAU
rnacentral:rRNA from 1 species